rnacentral:rRNA from 1 species
CCUACGGGUGGCAGCAGUGAGGAAUAUUGGUCAAUGGACGUAAGCCUGAACCAGCCAAGUAGCGUGAGGGAUGAAGGUUCUAUGGAUCGUAAACCUCUUUUAUAAGGGAAUAAAGUGCGGGACGUGUCCCGUUUUGUAUGUACCUUAUGAAUAAGGAUCGGCUAACUCCGUGCCAGCAGCCGCGGUAAUACGGAGGAUCCGAGCGUUAUCCGGAUUUAUGGGGUUUAAAGGUUGCGUAGGCGGCCUUUUAAGUCAGCGGUGAAAGUUUGUGGCUCAACCAUAGAAUUGCCGUUGAAACUGGGAGGCUUGAGUAUGGUUGAGGCAGGCGGAAUUCGUGGUGUAGCGGUGAAAUGCUUAGAUAUCACGCAGAACCCCGAUUGCGAAGGCAGCCUGCUAAGCCAUGACUGACGCUGAUGCACGAAAGCGUGGGGAUCAAACAGGAUUAGAUACCCUUGUAGUC